GGGAGUUGAAGUCCACGGGUCAUAAAAGAGCCAAGGUUGCUUACCCCUGGUAUAGGGUCUUCUCCUUCAGCAGGGGGCUGGAGUAGAAGACCUCUAAGGUCCCUUCCAGCUCUCUUAGUCUGUUAAGCAAGUCUGAAGAAUGUUGUUGUUGUUGAGGAAUAUUGAGCAACUUUUUAAAAAUAAAAUAAAAUCAGCCACCGGUGGCAUAGACCGCCUGAGUGAAAGCGCGGGAGGCAUUUGGUGAGAAAAAAACGAAUGUGGAAUGGACUCUUCAGUCCGCCUGCCCUGUUUUCACAGACUUGGCCUCUCCUUGUAACCAAGGCUGGAAUGAAGUUUGCAAAGAUCUCCGCAGAGCCCCGUCUCCUUCCAGCUCUCUACUGUGUAAACGUUUUGUUUGGGGGCAUGACCCUGUUGUUAGGCAAAUGGUGUGACAAUCAACAAAUCCUCCGGCAGAGGAAUGGGAGCCGAGAGCUUCCCAUGCACCCGCUUGGAGGAGGGAAUUAAUUGCUCCUGGCUUUUUCCUCUCUCAGAAACGUCUCUUUCAUAGACGCUUUUCGUUUACCCCGGUUUCUCUGUAAACACACAGGGUUGUUUUUCCAUACCGUUUCCUUCUGCCCUGGAACUUUCAAAGUGAUUUUUUUUUUUCCCAGCUGGGCCUGGGCCAUUCUUGAAGUCCUGGGACAGGCUUGACCAAUUCAAGGUGUUAUGAUUAAGCGUCCAGGUCAGCCCCUUUCCUGUAUGGUUUUUACUUGAGGAAGGUCCAGGCAAGGGCAGGUGGUCUUUCAGUCUGGCAAAAGCCACUUGCAGGUACUCCUCGAUGCACGACCACGACGGAGCCCCCAAACUUCCGUCGGUAAGCGAGGCAGCUGGGAAGUGAGUUUUGCCUCAAUUUACGAAAUGCCUUGCCUCAGUUGAGCAGUUGUUAAGUGAAUCACGUGGUCGCUAGGGGCAUCCGGCUUCCUCUUGUUGACUUUGUUUAUCAGAAGCUGGAUGGGAAGGUUAUCAAUGGUGAUCGCAUGAUCCCGGCACUCUGCCACCGUCAUAAGUACAUGCCAGUUGCCAAGCGCCGGAAUUUUGAUUACUGGACCACGGGGAGGUUGCGACAGUCGUUAAGUGUGAACAUGGGUCAGGAGUCCCUUGUUUCAGUGCUGUGGGAACUUUGAAUGGUCCAUUUACUAAUGGUGGUAAGUCAAGAACUACCUAUACAGGUACUCCUCGACUUACGACCAAAAUUUUUGUUGCUAAGUGAGACAUUUGUUAAGUGACUUGAUGGAACAUCACCUAUCAGGUGCAAUACGAUUUGUGGAGGUUUAUAUAUAUAUAUGUGAGUGUGUGUUUGUGUAUGUAUGUAUUUUGUGCCUUUUCAAUUAUGACUGAUGGAACAUAGUUUUAAUAGACUAAAAAUCUCCAUGUAGACUGACAUCCUUACGCGCUGCACCUAAAAGGUGGGACGGUGCUUUGUUCCCGUCUGGUAAAAUGGCAACCUUGGAUUUGGGCGGGGAGCAGUUAAACAGAAAUUUCAGAGUUUUGCCCUGCCGGCUGGCACCCUCUCUUCCUGUUGCGAAGAACAAGAACGGAGCGCGUCAUUUUGCUCCCAGGCAGAGAGAGAGGGACUUGCAACUCAUCAUUUUGCUCGCCUCUUCACAAGGCUCAGCCCAAGGGUUGAGAAUUAGCAGCCACUUGUCUUCAUAAUGCUCCACCUGGCUCUCCAUCAGCACACCACUUCCUUUUCUUCUUCUUCUCAUCUUCUAAACACCCACUCACCAGAGGCCCUUGCCCUUCCUUCCAGCUCCAGGCCUAAAAAGAGUGGUGGGGCCACGGCAGGUCAUGUGUGACCUAGGCCAUUAGGAAUCUUGAGCAUCGCAAACAAGACAAAAAGUACGGAAGGGCAAAAUAAAAAAAAUAAAAAGUCUGUUUAGAUGGAACCAAACAAUCUCCAUGGUAUCAGGGAACACACCAGAUCAAAGCAUUGUUGCUGCUGCCUUGUGGGUUAGGGUGCUGAAGAAUGAUGUCUGUGUGUAUAUGUGUGUGUGUUUGCGUGUUUGUGUGUUUAGAGGAAGAGAAGGAAGCAACCCACUUGGGGGGGGUUGGGGGGGGAGAGGUCAACAGACGAGGGAUGGUAGAGCUGUCGCUGCCUUUCGCUGCUGUAUUGUUUCAUGCCGUUGGGAGAUCAUGCCAAAAACAGAACAAACAGGCUGCACAACACAGCGAGGGGGAAAUGUUUUUCAGCUGUAGUGAAAGCAAAAGGGUUUCCACAGCAGCCAGCUCUGUGCAGUUAGCAACUGGGGCGGCACCCCAGGCAAUCCACCAUCCCACCCCACCCCACCCAGCCCAUUUGGAGCAUCCUUUGGUCCCCGAAGGGUCACCUAGCCCCUCUACCCAGGAAGUGCCUUUCUCUGAGCAAAAGGCUUUUUUGGGUUAGCUGCCUCUGUCCUCCUUCAGCAGGUGGGGUGCCCACGCACCUGACUACAGGAUUCCUCUCAGUUGAAAGCGCUGAGUAGGCCUGGUCUGGUUUAGGGAAAAAUAAGUUGCUCACCAACACAUCAGCAUUUGGACAGCAAAUAGGGCAGCCAGGAAAAAUCACCCGGUUAGCUUUCCCUCCUUUAAUUGGGGGAAAUAUUGGGUUUCUAUUGAAAUUGCAGAAAUGAUCUCUGAAUGUGCUUCCAUAAUUAUUUAUAGGGAUACAUAUUUUCAGGCAGAUAUUUCCCUUCUUUUUCAAGCAAGGUCUUUCCUCUUGUUUUGGCACUGCAGAACCGGGGCUCCCGUGGCAUUCCAGAUCCUAAGAUGUUAAUGGCCAAAGCAAGUAGACAUCCAAACUGUAAGUAUUCUGCUGUAUCUUCUAUAAGGAAUCUCUGGUGUUUAAGUGGAAAGAAACGCUUAGGGAACGUAGAAAAGACGGAUUCCCUUCCCAAAGAAUACUGAACGUUGCAGCUCGGCAUAAACCAUCCACUCAAUAUCCAGAUUCACCCCUUAGAUGAAUUCACCCUCCAUCACCAGAAAGACCUAUUUCCCAUCUUUUCUUCCUCCACAUAUCUGGCUGACAAGUUGAGCCAAGUCCAUGUUCAAACAGCUUGGCCAGUUUUCCAUUUUCCUUCUUGGCUGACAAGCUGACCUUUGAGAAGACGUGGCCAGUUUACACCGCCCUGAAACCCAUUCUCUUAAUUGAAUUGCUCAUCGAUGCGUUGGACUUAGAACCACAUUCAUCACAGCUCAAUUGGUAGAAUAAGCUACAAGCAAAUGGGUUUUGUUCUUCAGCUGCACAAUCGAAACAUGCUGAAGGACCUCCACCCCUGGAUUUUCAGGGCUAGUCAUUCUGUGACCCAACUGUCUCCUUUUGCAGGUUGCUCCGAGCAGGAUCUGAGUAAGAGCUGGACCUCAUCCAACUAGGACUGAGAAUCAGAAGUAAUGAGCCUGUGUUCUGACAACCUGGACACCAAACCCCUGUUGAUUCCAGCUGGAGAAGUCCACUUUCUUAAAACAAGGUAGUAAAACUUGGGCAGAAAACGUGUAAUUGCGACUGACUCGUUAAGAAUGGAAAAUACCCGAUACGAGAAAUCCCGUGGAGGGAAUCAUCCAGAUGUGUGCAUGGGGUUCUCCAAAUGCAUCACGCCCAGGCUUUGUUGGAAAUGCUGGUCAGAAACAUC